rnacentral:sRNA from 1 species
UUUUCAUGUGUGUGUGCCAUAGUAUGUAUGCGGCAGUCAGGAUGAGUUGCUACAGUGAGUUCUCUCCUUCCAUUGUGUGUGUUGAGAAGUGAGUUCAUCAGGCUGGUGCCUUUACUGGCUGAGCCAUGUUGCUGCAUCUUGAUUUUGCCAUCUGGAACUUGAAGACAAGAGUUAUUGUUGCAUCUGAAGGUGUUGGAUGCCCUCUCAUUUCUUUUCACCCCAUUUCGUAGUCCACUAAACUGCCUUCCAAAGUUUGAUCUUUUUGCACACUUCGAUACUACUAUACCACAACUUUCUCUGCCUCCGUGGAAUCGGGUUAAGCAGGUUGGGUGAAGAAGAGGCAUAUAACAGAUAAUUGAAGGGACAUGCUUUGCAGCUUCAAAUUCAUCUGCAUGGCAUCCAGCCACAGCCACACGGUGAUGGCGAUAAAAUGUGGAUGUGGGAAACAUCAGCUUCCACUUUGCAAAAGCUUAAGAGCCGGCAAUUGAUUGAAUGGAAUGAGAAGAUGAAGAGAAUUAGAAGUGAUAUUCCUAAGGUGUUCUGCAGACCAACACACCAGACAGAAGACAUGGAUUAAGAAGAAAGAAUGAAAAAAAAGAGAGAAAAGAAAAAGAAACAACACACACACAGCAUCGGAUGAAUUUUAGAGUUGCUGACAAUUCAGAAACAUGAAGGAACAAGGAGAGAAAAAAAGUGGACAAUGUCCUGGACCAAAGUACGAAAGAGGUGUUUUGAGAAAGGGAUGCCAUAAGAAAUAGCAUAAGAGUCAGUAAAUAUUUGGGGAGAGAUGGAGUGGGAAUGGAGGGAGGGAAGGGAAGAUGGAGAGACGGAGGGAUUGUAGGAGACAAGCAGCAUGAUAUCUCAGGCUUUAGGAAAUAGAUUGCUGGGGUUUACAAAAAGGGCAGGCCACAUUCCAAGGUCAAGAAAGGCAAAAGUUCAUGUGGCUCACCAGACAAUCUUUGAAAAGUAGAAAUCCUAACAAUUUAAUCACAAAUGAGCGUACUAGAGAAGUGAAUGCAGUAUUGACAUUUAGCAAUGCAGCCACAAAGACUCACUCUCCAGACAGCAUCCAGUUAUAGGGCAUCCGCAGAAAUAGAAGGAAACCUGACUCAGCUAGAGGAGGGAGGGAAACAUGGAGGAAUGUCAAGUCGGCUGAGUACAAUGUACAUUUGAAAACACUGCUACAAGGGUUUGUAACUUCUGAAACUAACUUCAUCUACAGUUGCUUCCAUAGAUAGAACCCCUGACUAAUAUGAAAAUGCUUUGCAUGAUACUUUCAUAAUAUGUUUAUCAGCAAGGAGAAAUGUUUCCAAGAGUGACAUGAUAGAACAAGGACAAUCUGGAGCUCAAGUCAUGUGAGCUAAAAAACUGUAAAGAAAAACCCAUUGGUUUGUACAGGGGUAAAGCAUCGAGUGAAUUAAAUAGUAAAAGCCUGGAAGAUCAAAGAGCAUGAGAGUUGUAAGAUUGGCUUGGAAAGGAGAAUGAUGAGAGGCUUAUGAAAUACCAACAGGUCAUUGACCCUGAUUUUAAGGGGAAAUAGUGAGAUUCCUUAAUAUUUACUGUUUACUAAAAUACUGUCAAAUUCUUGCUGGCUUUUAGGAACACUAACCAUAAUGCUUUGUGAGAACCUAUGUAGAAAUGUAGUGUUACUGGAACCAACUUUGACUUAUUGCUAGCCACACAUUCCCUUCCCAAAUGAGGCGUAUGGAGUGAUAGGCAGGAAAGCUGAAGUUGAAGUAUAUCUUUGGUUUCAAAAGAAAUUUAUUGGACAGAAUAAUUUAAGUAAUUCUGGGUCAGACAGAAAAUGUUAAGUUGCAUUAACUUAUCCAAGAUAUGCUUCUAUCCCACACUGAUGGUUGAAAAUUUUUUAUUUAAUCCUCAGUAGUCUUGUACUGUAUUUCACCUGAACCAACAGGACAAUUUUUUGUUCCCUGGAAUUUAAGAUAACACAAUAGUGUCUUGACCUGUGUACUAGGGAGAGAUGAACUCUUAGCUGGCCAUUCUUGGAUUCUGUGGUCUUUCGUGGCAUGUUGUCCUCCUUUGUGUCUUAGUACUUUCGGUUUCAUACACACUAUUCUGGAGGGAGCAGAUCAGGUGCUCCUAGUAAACUGUAGAUAUUCAAUGAUUCAGAACUGUCUGAUGUCCCCACGGGAUAUGUGGCAGGAAGUAAACAACAGCAUUUAGUCUUGCUAGUGCUGUUGACUAUGAUAGCAGACAGCAGAGCAUUCAUUGUUCAUGCUCCUCUUUGCUGGGACCUUCUUAUUGCCUUCUGCUCUACUCCAGUUCCUCCCUGUAGCUGAUGAUGAAGGUGGAUUCCUGGACGGCAAGGUUUGAAUUGAUCCAUCUUUUCCUAAUUGCUAUGGGGAGUGCGGGUUCCCUAAGUUCACAAUUGCUGCGCUUCUGCAGAACACACGGUCCUCAGCUGAAGGAAACCAUAUCAAACGUGCCGGGAGCAUAAGCCAGACUUUCAGAGGUUCAAGGUCAACUCAAUUUCGAGAAGGAAUGUGCAUCUCAGGGCUACUGAGCAGAGCCUUCAAUGCCAAUUUAAUGCAAGUACUCUUCAUCCCGGAACACUAGAAGGCCAGACAUAAAGCUUUGACUUCAAGCCACACACAAAACAUGUGAUUCCAUAUGGGCUUUUGCUGCAUGGUAGCUGUUGAAGGCUUACGUGUGCCAGUUAAAGACAGCUUGAAGGUAACCACUUGAAAGUCAGCAUCAAACAAAG